rnacentral:sRNA from 1 species
GCCGGGUGUGGUGGUGCAUGCCUGUAAUCCCAGUGGCUCUGGAGGCUGAGGCAGGAGGAUUGUAAGUUUAAAGCCAGCCUCAGCAAAAAGUGAGGCCUAAGCAAUUCAGUGAGAUUCUGUCUCUA